GCCUUAGUAGCUUAAAUCAAAGCACCGGUCUUGUAAUCCGGAGAUCGGAGGUUAAACCCCUCCCUAAAGCC
rnacentral:tRNA from 1 species